UUUACCCAUUCACUGAUUGAUGGACACUUAGGUUGCUUCCACGUCUUGGUUAUUGUACGUAGUGCUGCUGUGAGCAUUGACGUGCAUGCAUCUUUUUGAAUUAGUGCCUAGGAGUGGGAUCACUGGAUCAUACGGCAAGUCUAUUUUCAAGUUUUUAAGGAACCUCUGUACUGUUUUCCAUAGUGGCAGCUCCAAUUUACAUUCCCUUCAUCAGAACAGGAGGGUUCCCUUCUCUUCACACCAUCUCUAGCAUUUAGUAUUUGUAGAUUUUUGAUGAUGGCCAUUCUGACCUGUGUGAGGUGAUGUUUCAUUAUGGUUUUGAUUCUCAUUUCUCUACUAAUUCCUGAUGUAGAGCACCUUGCAGAUGCCUGUUGGCCAUCUGUAUGUCUUCUUUGUAGAAAUGUCUAUUUAGUUCUUCUGCCCAUUUUUUGAUUUUUGUUUUUUGAUAUUGAGUUGUAUGAGCUGUCAAAGAAACAAUUAAUGAGGAAUUGAAAGGAUAAAGAAACUUAGAUUUGGCAUGUGUAAUUUGCAAAGAAUCUAAACAGAGUUUGGGUUUGGGGUAGUAAACAAAAAAUGUAACAGGAGGCUUCCUGGCUGUAAUUCUCUGUCUCCACUGUAAGGCUGUCUUUCUUUCGGAUGCAGGAAAUGCACUUUUUUUUUUGGCUGUGCUGGAUUUUCAUUGCGGCAUGCAAGCGCUCUAGUUGUAGCAUGUAGGCUUAGUUGCCAUGUGGCACAUGGGAUCUUAGUUCCUCAAGCAGGGAUUGAACCCAUGUCCUCUGCAUCAGAAGGUGGAUUCUUAACCACCAGGCCACCAGGGAAGUCCCUGGGAGUACACUUGUCACAUGAGAGAUUUAUUUCCUGCUUUUCAGGGAGAUAGAAGAGGGUCAGAAUUUUCUUCUUGGGUUCACCACUUCUCAAGCAGCUUCAAUUCAAAAUAAUUAAUAUGCCAUUGUAGCAUAUUUUGGGGUGGCCCACCCUCAGCCCCAACAUCAUGUUACAAGAAACCUAUUACAAUGUCUUUCCAGAGAAAAAAAUGUGUAAAUAUGGGAUCAUUGAAAAGAUCAGACUAUCCUCCAUAUAUGUGCUUUGCUUUCAAGCAUUAUCAUUUAAGAAGAAUAGAGGAUUCUCUAAUUAAAGAGCAACCUUGACCUAAAGAGGUAUUUUACAAUGUUAUGUUAGUUUCUAAAGCAAUUAUACUCCAAUAAAAAAUAAUAAUAAGAAAAUGAUGGCUGAAGUAGGUGGUCCAUUAGGGAGGGGCUUGAAAAAGUUUGUUUAUUUAUAAAGAUUAUUAUAAUGAUUUGGUUAUUGUCUCAUUUUUUAAAUAAUGAAAUCAGGUAUGAAAGUAAAAAAUAAUAGAGGUGUUUUAAACAUAUGAUUGUUCAGUUAAGAGAAAACAGACUGUUCUAUGCAUUUAUAAGGGUUUUCCCAGUGGUUCAGCAGUAAUUUGCCCACAAUACAGGAGCUGCAGGAGACUCAGUGAUAUUCUCCAGAUCCAGGAUUUGAUCCAUGGGUCGAGAAGAUUCCCUGGAGGAGGGCAUGACAACCCAUUCCAGUACUCUUGCCUGGAAAAUCCCAUGGAAAGAGGAACCUGGUGGGUUACAAUCCAUAGGGUCGCAAAGAGUUGGACACGACUCAGGUGACUUAGCCUGCAUGCAGGCAUGCGUUUAUAAGUAACAGCUGGGGAGGUGUGGGGGAAGGUUGAGGGUUGGCGGAGACAGAAAUAGCACUCACAUUCUAGGCUUUGUUGGCUCACGCAGAAUUUGGGAGGAAAGCACAUCCUCCUUGAUGACACAGCAGAGGAACUUCCUCCUGUUCCCAGCUGGCCUCACGACAGGCUCUUUUCUGUCUCACACAUUCAGCCCUGAGAGUCAGGUGAUGACUCCGGCCACCCUGCUUCGGGCACUGUGCCUCCCGUGUUCCUUUACACGGCCUGGCCCCCAGCUGUUUCACGGUGGAGGCAUCUGACACUCUGAUAAAUGAACAGGCCAUCGGAUAUUCCAUCCAACAGAGGGCAGUGGCUCACUGAAACUCUCACAUAACGUUUGCUCUGAAAAUAGAUUUUCCUGAAACUUUCCACUUAAAUAGCUGUGCAUUAACUUUCAGUGAGGCCAACCUAGUGGGAACUACGCAGAGCAUGGAACCCCAGAUGGUUGGGCAGCCACACGUGGUCACAGUUCUGCCUUAAUUCGCUGCUGAUUACUUCCUUUGAAAUUUGCAGCCAGAUUCUAAACUAUUCACCUUUCAACAUCUGGAAAUGCUGAGCGCGUUUGGUCAUUUGUUCGUCUUGUUUAAGCUGUACACCCCGGUUGGGUAAGACUGUAUUUGCCAAAGCAGGGUAGACAUCGCUGAAAGAUUAGCCCUUCUGAAACGCUCUUCUAACCUAGACGAGCCGUAGAAGGUGCCUUGUGUGUGAUUUACACAGUGAAUGGCCCUGCUUUUGGAGCAAGUUAAUGAUAUAAUAUCCCCAUUUAUAUUCAGAGCAGUCAACACUUUCUAGCUCUCAGAAUAAUAAAAGCACCUGCAUUUAAUAUACAUGGAAGAAUGGGAAGGCAAAUAGCAGAUAAGGCACAAUCAGAGAAGGAGGGUCUGCCUAUUGAGGGUUGUCAACACUGGAUGGUUUUGAAGCAUCAUUCGCUGAAAGCCGUACAGGUCCACAGAGGAGAGACCAAAUAUUUCUCAGUUGGAAUUUCUAUCCUAAAUACCGCAGUGGAUCUCAAGGAGGAGAGUAAAGGUCUAAGGACCUCCGCUUUCCUUGUUUCCACAGCACAUUGAGCAUUGCAACCCGUCCCUGCAGGAUUAUGCUUCUAUGCACACAUGCUUGCUUUCUUCACUGGAUUGUCAGCUCCUUGGCGACAAGACACCUCUGGGUUUUGGUGAAAUCUGCUCGACAGUUCUGAGUGCCUCUGUGUCGCUAUGAUGAACCAGAAACAUUCAGAUCUCUGAGAAAGAUGGCAUAGAAGCAUUAAAAAAGAUUCUGCAUAGCCUGUCGUGGUCAGUGGAUGUUACGGAACUUCAAGUUUGGACAUCUGUUCUGCCUGAAGGAUAAAAUUUAUACAUUCCCAACAUCCAGCUUUGUCUACAUGCCUCUUGAGAGAAGUAGUCAAAGAAUGGCACGCCCCUCAAGACUUCAUCAAUCCAACAAAGACAUACGCUUGCUGAACCAUGAUGAUUAACACUGAGUUUUCUGGGUCAGAGAAAUCAGACCUUCCUGAUAGAAACCUUUGAAACAUCGACAUGUUUCAGAAAAUGCUACUUCAGUUUCUCUUGGGAAUUUACCAGUAUGCUCUGGAACGCUUUUCAGAAUUAAAGAAGAUAGCCUCUUUGUGCAUCAGUGUGGUUGCUGAUCUCCCAAGACGCUUGUUGGGUUUAUCCUCUCAUCCCUUCUCCUGCACUGUUGUGCCAAGUGGCUGGAGCCCGUGUCUAUGGCCUAAGUCACCAUUCCUUCCCCACAGUGGCAGCAUGCAUACAUGUGUGCUCAAUCGUGUCUGAAUUUUGCAACCCCAUGGACUGCAGCCCACCAGGCUUCUCUGUCCAUGGAAUUCUCCAGGGGCUGCUGUGAGGGUUAACAACUAUAAAUGGAAAAGAGGCAGAAGAAUUACUGGCUGAAGACUGGAGACAGCCAGCUAGGUUUCUAGUUCCUCCGCUUACCAGCUGCUGCUGUGUCAGGCUGGACUCCACUUCUUCAGUCUGCUGGCUUCCAGCUCUGCAGUAUGGCUUUUGCUCUCCUGGCCUGGUUUCGGGCGGAGUGUCUCAGAAGUAUUGAUCAGACUUGAUCUUGGUCUCGUUAGUGCUGUGGCCCCAGGAGACCCUCCGCUCCUCUUCCUGCCUUGGCACCAGGCUUUUCCGGUUCUUUUCUUGCUCUUUCUCUCACUGUGCUCAGUUGGUUCCUGUGCCUCCAUCGACUCUUGAAACAAGGUCAUCCUCCAUGUUCUUUCCCCGUCUAUACUGAUGACUCCUGAGUCUACAUCACUAGCUACUGAGAGUCACACUUGAAUUUUCAUCCCCCUCACCUCCUGGGUCCACAUGAAGGUUCCAGCAGCUUCUCAAACUGUACAAGUCUGGGUUUUCUCAGUAGCAUCUGUUCUCUCUCCAUCUUGUGCCCUCACCUCCUCUGUCCUCACUGACUCUUGGAUAAAAAGCCUCACCUUCUCUGACUCCUUCAGUCUAGAAACAUCUUUGUCUUUUUUAUUUCUUUUUUUGCCACUUUCUCUUAUUCCCAGGUUUUGCAUUUUCUUGUUUGACCAGAGGACUUGAGUCUCCCCUCCUUUCUUGUCCUGCUACCAUUGCCCUUAUGAUUAUAUUAAUAGUAACCUCUUGGCUGAUCUGUCUGCCUCCAAACUAGCCCUUGUUGUGCUGCUGGAACUAACUUCUCAAAAUGCCUGUAAUACUGCUUGUUGUACUACUUCAUAUAAUAGUUGCUCAAUAAACACUACUUUAUUACUUCCUCAGCUUCAAUGACUUUAUCUAUUAGUAGAGUUGAC